CACGUAGGGCGCAAGCGUUGUCCGGAAUUAUUGGGCGUAAAGAGCUCGUAGGCGGUCUGUUGCGUCCGCUGUGAAAACCCGGGGCUUAACCCUGGGCUGGCAGUGGAUACGGACAGACUAGAGGUAGGUAGGGGAGAAUGGAAUUCCUGGUGUAGCGGUGAAAUGCGCAGAUAUCAGGAGGAACACCGGUGGCGAAGGCGGAUCUCUGGGCCUGUCCUGACGCUCAGGCGCGAAAGCUAGGGGAGCAAACAGG
rnacentral:rRNA from 1 species